AGUGAACGCUGGCGGUAGGCCUAACACAUGCAAGUCGAACGGCAGCACAGGAGAGCUUGCUCUCUGGGUGGCGAGUGGCGGACGGGUGAGGAAUACAUCGGAAUCUACUCUGUCGUGGGGCAACGUAGGGAAACUUACGCUAAUACCGCAUACGACCUACGGGUGAAAGCAGGGGACCUUCGGGCCUUGCGCGAUUGAAUGAGCCGAUGUCGGAUUAGCUAGUUGGCGGGGUAAAGGCCCACCAAGGCGACGAUCCGUAGCUGGUCUGAGAGGAUGAUCAGCCACACUGGAACUGAGACACGGUCCAGACUCCUACGGGAGGCAGCAGUGGGGAAUAUUGGACAAUGGGCGCAAGCCUGAUCCAGCCAUACCGCGUGGGUGAAGAAGGCCUUCGGGUUGUAAAGCCCUUUUGUUGGGAAAGAAAUCCAGCUGGCUAAUACCCGGUUGGGAUGACGGUACCCAAAGAAUAAGCACCGGCUAACUUCGUGCCAGCAGCCGCCGUAA
rnacentral:rRNA from 1 species